rnacentral:rRNA from 1 species
AGAGUUUGAUCAUGGCUCAGAAUCAACGCUGGCGGCGUGCCUAACACAUGCAAGUCGAACGUGAAAGGGCUUCGGCCUGAGUAAAGUGGCAAACGGGUGAGUAACGCGUGGGUGAUCUGCCUCCGAGUGGGGGAUAACGUUCCGAAAGGGACGCUAAUACCGCAUGACAUCCUGUUCUUGGAUGAACGGUGAUCGAAGCUGGGGACCGCAAGGCCUGGCGCUUGGAGAGGAGCCCGCGUCCGAUUAGCUAGUUGGUGGGGUAAUGGCCUACCAAGGCGACGAUCGGUAGCCGGCCUGAGAGGGCGGACGGCCACACUGGGACUGAGACACGGCCCAGACUCCUACGGGAGGCAGCAGUGGGGAAUUGUUCGCAAUGGGCGCAAGCCUGACGACGCAACGCCGCGUGGGGGAUGAAGGUCUUCGGAUUGUAAACCCCUGUUGGGUGGGACGAACACUCCUGUGGUGAAUAGCCAUGAGAGCUGACGGUACCACCUGAGGAAGCCCCGGCUAACUCUGUGCCAGCAGCCGCGGUAAUACAGAGGGGGCAAGCGUUGUUCGGAAUUACUGGGCGUAAAGGGCGCGUAGGCGGCCAUCUAAGUCAGACGUGAAAUCCCCCGGCUUAACCUGGGAACUGCGUCUGAUACUGGAAGGCUCGAGUUUGGGAGAGGGAUGUAGAAUUCCAGGUGUAGCGGUGAAAUGCGU